CCCUUAGAUGUUCUGGGCCGCACGCGCGCUACACUGAUGCAUUCAACGAGUCUAAAACCUGCUCUGAUAGGGGUGGGUAAUCUUUUGAAUGUGCAUCGUGAUUGGGAUAGAUGAUUGCAAUUUUUCAUCUUCAACGAGGAAUGCCUAGUAAACGCAAGUCAUCAGCUCGCAUUGAUUACGUCCCUGCCCUUUGUACACACCGCCCGUCGCUCCUACCGAUUGAAUGAUCCGAUGAAUAUCAUGGAUUGAGGAUGCAAGUAGGUUAGCCUAUCUUCAUCUUCGAGAAGUGAAGUAAAUCUUAUCAUUUAGAGGAAGGAGAAGUCGUAACA
rnacentral:rRNA from 1 species